rnacentral:rRNA from 1 species
UACGGAGGGUGCAAGCGUUAUCCGGAUUCACUGGGUUUAAAGGGUGCGUAGGUGGGCAAGUAAGUCAGUGGUGAAAUCUCCGGGCUUAACCCGGAAACUGCCAUUGAUACUAUUUGUCUUGAAUACUGUGGAGGUCAGCGGAAUAUGUCAUGUAGCGGUGAAAUGCUUAGAUAUGACAUAGAACACCAAUUGCGAAGGCAGCUGGCUACACAAAUAUUGACACUGAGGCACGAAAGCCAGGGGAGCAAACGGG